CCUACGGGCGGCAGCAGUGGGGAAUAUUGCACAAUGGGGGAAACCCUGAUGCAGCGACGCCGCGUGAGCGAGGAAGUAUUUCGGUAUGUAAAGCUCUAUCAGCAGGGACGAAAAACGACGGUACCUGACUAAGAAGCCCCGGCUAACUACGUGCCAGCAGUCGCGGGAAUCAGUAGGGGGCAAGCGUUAGCCGGGUUGACUGGGUGUAAAGGGAGCGUGGACGGGAAGGCAAGCCAGAAGUGAAAGGGAAGGGCUCAACCCUGUACAUGCUUUUGGAACGGAGGGGCUAGAGUGCAGGAGAGGUAAGUGGAAUUCCUAGUGUAGCGGUGAAAUGCGUAGAUAUUAGGAGGAACACCAGUGGCGAAGGCGGCUUACUGGACUGUAACUGACGUUGAGGCUCGAAAGCGUGGGGAGCAAACAGGAUUAGAUACCCCUGUAGUC
rnacentral:rRNA from 1 species